rnacentral:rRNA from 1 species
GACGAACGCUGGCGGCGUGCUUAACACAUGCAAGUCGAGCGGUAACGGCCCGUUUCGGGGGUACACGAGCGGCGAACGGGUGAGUAACACGUGGGUGACCUGCCCUCAGCUCUGGGAUAAGCCUGGGAAACCGGGUCUAAUACCGGAUAUGACUCCAUGACGCAUGUUGUGGGGUGGAAAGCCUUGUGCGGCUGAGGAUGGGCCCGCGGCCUAUCAGCUUGUUGGUGGGGUGANGGCCUACCAAGGCGACGACGGGUAGCCGGCCUGAGAGGGCGACCGGCCACACUGGGACUGAGACACGGCCCAGACU